rnacentral:rRNA from 1 species
AUUGAACGCUGGCGGCAGGCCUAACACAUGCAAGUCGAACGAGUGGCGGACGGGUGAGUAAUGUCUGGGAAACUGCCCGAUGGAGGGGGAUAACUACUGGAAACGGUAGCUAAUACCGCAUACCAUCGGAUGUGCCCAGAUGGGAUUAGCUAGUAGGUGGGGUAACGGCUCACCUAGGCGACGAUCCCUAGCUGGUCUGAGAGGAUGACCAGCCAAACUGGAAGUGAGACACGGCCCAGAUUCCUACGGGAGGCAGCAGUGGGGAAUAUUGCACAAUGGGCGCAAGCCUGAUGCAGCCAUGCCGCGUGUAUGAAGAAGGCCUUCGGGUUGUAAAGUACUUUCAGCGGGGAGGCGUUACCCGCAGAAGAAGCACCGGCUAACUCCGUGCCAGCAGCCGCUGUAAUAC